rnacentral:rRNA from 1 species
AUUGAACGCUGGCGGCAGGCCUAACACAUGCAAGUCGAGCGGAUGAAGGGAGCUUGCUCCUGGAUUCAGCGGCGGACGGGUGGGUAAUGCCUAGGAAUCUGCCUGGUAGUGGGGGGUAACGUCCGGAAACGGGCGCUAAUACCGCAUACGUCCUGAGGGAGAAAGUGGGGGAUCUUCGGACCUCACGCUAUCAGAUGAGCCUAGGUCGGAUUAGCUAGUUGGUGGGGUAAAGGCCUACCAAGGCGACGAUCCGUAACUGGUCUGAGAGGAUGAUCAGUCACACUGGAACUGAGACACGGUCCAGACUCCUACGGGAGGCAGCAGUGGGGAAUAUUGGACAAUGGGCGAAAGCCUGAUCCAGCCAUGCCGCGUGUGUGAAGAAGGUCUUCGGAUUGUAAAGCACUUUAAGUUGGGAGGAAGGGCAGUAAGUUAAUACCUUGCUGUUUUGACGUUACCAACAGAAUAAGCACCGGCUAACUUCGUG